ACAUACAGUUUUAAUAUUAAUUUUAAAUGAGAUUUAACAAUAUAUAUUGUAUGUCAUUAUAAUUUAUACCAAUACUUUUUCAUAAUAUAUCAACA
rnacentral:miRNA from 1 species